rnacentral:rRNA from 1 species
GUGAGGAAUAUUGGUCAAUGGGUGCAAGCCUGAACCAGCCAUCCCGCGUGAAGGACGACUGCCCUAUGGGUUGUAAACUUCUUUUGUAUAGGGAUAAACCUACCCUCGUGAGGGUAGCUGAAGGUACUAUACGAAUAAGCACCGGCUAACUCCGUGCCAGCAGCCGCGGUAAUACGGAGGGUGCAAGCGUUAUCCGGAUUUAUUGGGUUUAAAGGGUCCGUAGGCGGACUUAUAAGUCAGUGGUGAAAGCCUGUCGCUUAACGAUAGAACUGCCAUUGAUACUGUAAGUCUUGAGUAUAUUUGAGGUAGCUGGAAUAAGUAGUGUAGCGGUGAAAUGCAUAGAUAUUACUUAGAACACCAAUUGCGAAGGCAGGUUACCAAGAUAUAACUGACGCUGAGGGACGAAAGCGUGGGGAGCGAACAGG